GCUGACGUCUGUGGACCCGGUGUCGUGCGCACUCGGAGCGGACGGAGGUUUCACUGUAAAUGGGAUUGCUCAAUAUUAAGAUGACACAUAUUUUCCAUUCCGUGGUGGAGGAAGAAACAAUGCAAUGGGUUGUAAAUAUUGCACAGCAAAGUCACAGCUGGAGAGUGGCUUGAUAAGCGAACCAUACAUUUUCCAUGUUGAAUCUCCCAUGCCCUCUACUGGAGAGGCUCUCUGAACAGCAUGUUGAAAGAAACAAAAAUGUAAACAAAAAAGAGAAGAAAAGAAAACAGAAGCUCUGUAGGACCACUGGAAAAGAGGGAAAGGCACCGCUGACCUGAGGAAUGUGGAACUUUGGGAAUAUGUGAAACAGAGGGGAUCGAACUGAAGCAAAACUAAUCAGACUUGAGGAGCAGAUGGUUCAGAGUUUCUCUUCUUGGAGAAUGUGUGGUCACUGCCAUACAGCGUUGCUGUGGAAACAAGAGAUUAGAUGCUGUCUUCAUUUAUUGCGGCAGUGAUGUCUCUUCUGAUCAGACAGUAGUUUCUCGGAGUGCAGGGAAAAGCAAAGUCUCUGUGUCCAGGCUUCAUAAAUCUGUCAACAAUUGCCAAACUCGGAAAGCCACAUGAAAAGAGAUGGGGUCAAAGAAAGGAAGAUCGGAGGACGUCCUUGACUGUCACUUCUGGUAAAAGCAUUGGAAAAUCUGCUCAUCUGAAUUCUAGACAAUGUGGUAAGGAAGGUUUUGUGCCUGCUGAUUUUAUCUAAAGACAGAGAGGAAAAGAGGCCCCUACUAAAUGUUUGAUAAAUUGUUCUUAUGUCAGUACGCUCACAAAACUGCAAAACAGAUUUCCUUUACCAGCUGUGAAAGUGCAAUGUAUUAUAGACAAUAUAUCAGUUUAGAGUUACAACUCAGUCACCUCAGAGAACCACUGGAAUAUUUGCAGAAAUCACAUAUAUUCCUUUCCUAUUCUAGUGGUUGGCUGGAUGACUCAUUUUCAGACUAAUAUUCAAGCUACACGAAGGUGAGUUGUUCACUCUUUGGUACAGACUUUAGUGCUGGAGAGAAGUGGAUUUGAAUCUCAGCAGUCUCUUGCUAGUUGAGGAAUCCUGUGCAAGUCACUUAGCUUUUCUAGGCCUCAGGUCUUCAGCUGUCAGAUGAAGAUAACAAUGGGUUGGGUGUGGAGUAUAAGAGAAAACGAGGCAUCAAGAAUGAUGCUAGCUUUUUGGCUUGAGCAAUUGGCAGGAUGGAGUUGCCAUCAAUAGCCAUAAGGGUUUGCAGGGGAGAGGAUAAGGUUUUGGAAGUGGUGCUCACUGCUGGCCGUGUUAGAUAUAAGAUGCCUUUCAGACAUCUAAGUGAAGAUGUUGAGCAGGACGUUGGAUAUAAAAGUCCAGAAAGAGAUUUGGGAGGGAGAUAAAUAUUUGGGAGUUGACAUCAUGUGGAUAGUAUUCAAGGCCAUCACUAAGGGAAUCAGUGUAGGUAAAGAGGCCUUCUGAGGCUAAGAGGUUGGAGAGAAGAGGAAUCUAUAAAGGAACCUGAGAAAGGGUGGCGAUGUGGUAGGAAGAAAUCAAGAGAGUUGGUGUCCUGGAAGUCAAGAGAAAUAAAAUAUUUCAAAGAGGAGAGAGUAAUCACUUGUAUUAUAUAUACUGCAGUUAAGCAACAUGACGACUGAGAAACGACAAGUAACUUCAACUACUGGAUUAUUGGCAAUCUUGAGUAGAGGAGUGGUGGGGAUAAAAUUUGUGGUGAACUUAAGACAGAGUAAGAGGUGAAGGAGAGAAAUUGGAGAUGGUGAAUAUAGGCAUUUUUAGGAGUUUGCUGCAGAGGGGAGCAAAGAAAUAGGACUAGCUGGCAGAAAACGUAGGGAUCAAAAUUCUUUUUUUUUAGGCAGCGAAAAAUAACAGUGUCCGUGGGCAGAUAUGAAAGAUCCAGAGGCCCAGCAUGAAAGGAAGGAUUGGUGAUAGAGGAGAGAGAGGGGAGAAAUGCUGGGCAAAGUCCUUGUGCAGCCUCAGGAGAGGGGGAUCUAGUUUACCUCUGCUAGGGGUACAGACAUUUCUAGAUGGUAACUGGAGAGAAGGAAGGAUAUGUGGGCACAGACACAGGUGGGUAGUUCUGAAGCAGGAACAAGGUCAUCAGCUGGGUGAGUCUGAGAAGGAGCUGUUAGAAGUUUGGGGACAGAGGAGCAGUUAGGAAAUAGUCAUCAAGGAGAGUAGGAGAGUGAAUAACUAAGGAAAUGGAGCAUCAUGGUGAGCGGCUCCAAAGGCCCACUCCAGGUAAUGAUCAGAACAUACAGGAGAUUAGCUCUUUUAUUUUACAUAAACAUUUCAGCCUUCCAGAUCAUCUAAAGGGUUUCAAAUAAUGAAAACAUUGUCUUGGAGCAGUUGUAUUCUACGGAGACUAAAUUUCUACCCACCUUAACUAUCCCUUGGGUUAAAGUACAGGUUUUAUUUAUGCUAUAAUUGGAAAUAUAUAUUAAGCUCACGAAUUACAGCCAGGAUGCCCUGUCCUGUUGUCAGAAUCAAAGGCUGAAGAAAGACUCAAAAAUUUACGUAAACAAUCUCUAUUUGGAUAUGAAUUAAACAUUUCAAACUCAACACAUCCUAAACAGAACUUUAAUCUGUUCUCCUCUCCUCCCGACCUCCGCACCACCGCUCCCAUCCUGUUCCUUUCUGGAUCUCCUCAGUCUCAGCAAAUGUCACCACCAUCCAUCUACUCACUUUUAGCCAAAAGACCUGUCAAUACAUGUCCAAAAUAUUUCUCAUAAACCUUUUACUCCUUUCCUUCUCUACUGAUAUUACUGUAACUCAAGCGACUCUCUCUUCUCACUUAGAUUGUUAACAAGAACCUUCUAACCCACCUCCCUGCUUCUACUGGUGUCUCUGCUACGGUCCACAAGUAAGCCAGAGUGGUCCCUGUCACCCUGUUUGAAACCCUCCAGCGGUUUCCCGUUGUGCUUAGAAUAAAAUCUGCACGUUGCCUAAAUGGCCGUGUCUUGGCUUGCUUUUCUACCAGUCUGACCUCAGCAUGUUCCACUGAUAAUGCUGGCUCACUGGAUUUUAGCCGUAGGGGUCACCUUCUCUUUCCUUUCAGCUUUGCACAAGUUAAGUGCUUUCCUGUCACUGGGCCUUUGUAAUUUGUCAUUUCCUCUGCCUGAAUCCUAAUCUCUCAACUCUUUGUAUAGCUGCUUUCUUCCAAUUGUCUUAUAAACACAAUUCUUUUUUUAAACUCAGACGCCGCGUCCUCAGAGAGCCCUUUCCAGACCAUUCUACUUAAGUACCCUCAUCUUGUCUCGAAGGUACUUUCUGUUGUAUUAGUCAGUUUUCCUUCACAGCACGUAGCAGAUUCUGAGUUUUUGUUUGCGGUUUUAUUCUCUGUCUCUUCCUGCUCCUACUAGAAGCAAGCUCAUUGAGGACAAGGUUCUUGUCUGUCUUAUUCUCUGUUCGUGCAGCUCCCGAAACAGUGCCAGCACAUGGGGGUCCCCCAGAAGGUGAUAUGACGUGCUGGGAAAAAAAUGGAAGCCAAAACAUGGAUGUUUUUGUGCCUUUUGAAUUUGCUAUUUGAUUCAUCUGUCAAGAAACUAUCUUGCUAAGUUGUAUGUAAGUUGUAGAUGAUUUACUGUACAGUUAUACUGUAUAUCGUGGAGUUAAAAGCAUGCGCUCUGGAGCUAUGCUGCCUGAAUGAAAAUGACUGCUGUGUGACUUUGGACAAAUUACUUACCUUCUCUGAGUCUUCAUUUCCUCAUCUGUGAAACAGGGCUAAUAAUAAUAUAUAUAUCUAAAAUAGCACUUUUCUGAGGAUUAAAUGAGUUAAUUUAGCAUAGUGCCUGGUAUAGUAAGAACUCAAUAAAUAUUACCUAAUAUUAAUUUUUAAUUCGUGCAUAACUCAUACAAUUUCCUAGCCAUAGAAGCAGUAGCUGAGGAAAGAUAAAAAUGAUUUAAAUAGCUUUUAAAGAUAUUUUGUAUAUGCCAUGUUAGGAAAUAAGCCGAUUUAAAUGAUCUUAAAAUUAGUCUUUUUGAUGAGACUAAUAUAUUUAUGCAAAAAGAUUUUUGGCCCUCUGGCUUUAGCUUCAAGAAUAGUUUAGUAUAAUUUACUGAAAAUUGUAAUGGUGUCUGGCAGUGUGCCAUAAUUGGCCAGUUCAUAAAAUUAAACUGAUGAUUAGGAAAACUGUUUUGAAAAUAUUGUUAAAGCAUCCAGUGUGGAAGUUGUUCUGUAAGGACUGACUGCGGUAUGAAGACACAUUUAUCUUGCUCAAAGGAAAGUGCUUAAGAGUAGCUUAUCUUACAAACUGAUUUGGUUUAAAAUGUUUGCUCUCUGUGAAGAAAACACUGCAUGAUUCUUAAGUCUUGUUCUAUUAUAUGUAAAUUUUUGUUUAACUUUGCCGAGGGGAAUAGGACAUGUUUUCUUAAGAAAAAAAUGUCUUUAAUAUUAGUCAUCAGAAUGUGACUGUAAAUCUCUAUAUUAAAGCCUAAAACAUAAUCUUUAGCAUUCAGCCCCAAAUGGCCUUUACAGUAGUUCCCAUUUUCAAAAUAAAGGAGAGAAGCUUUGUCACCAGAGUAGCCAUCCAGCUUAGGUUUCAUUCUCUUUCUCUUUUGGACAAAGGAAUGAGAAUACAAGAAGCAAGACCGGGAGAACCAUUUAGGACACCAGCCUUGGGGUAAAAGGGGUUUUCUAUUACAGGUCAGUGUUAUAACUAAAAGUAGGCUCAGGAAGUCAAUGCUGGCUUUCUGAAAAGGGAAACUAAAGGUUCCUGGUGCCCUGCCCAGUAUUCAGAGUGUGGCGUCAGCCCUCCAGCAGAGCAGCCUCAAAUCUCAAGGGUACGACAGCUGCCAGGCCAGGGUCUUCUUGGCUGAAUAGCGAUUGGAGUGGGCUGGAGUAAUACGUACUACCUUGGCCAGGAGAGGAGGCAGGGAGGAAAUGAUAACUAUGCAGAUUUCCAAGCAAUUGAAAAUAAUCAAAAUGCUCUUAAGCUUUUUUUCUUAAGUUCAGUGGCACCUGGUGUUGGCAUAAUUUUUAUUGUCCAACAAAUAGCUCUUCACUUGGCUACAUAAAUGAUAUAACCAUGAGGUGAAGGUAGCAUUGUUAUCACUAUUUUAUAUAUGUGAAAACUGAGACCCAGGUUAAUUCUGCAAAGAUCUAGCUGCUCUGGAUUUGAACAUGUUCUUCCUGAUGUAUAAUUAGCGUAUGGUAAAAAAAAUUCAAAUUUUGAGUGUAUAGCCUUGUAACUUUUUACAAAUGUAACUUUUUUUAAAGUUCGUAGUUGAUUAAUCCUCUCAUGAAAAAUCUGCACAGUCACCACAGGUAAAGUCACCGCAGAAUCUUUCCUCCUUCUGUUGUCCAAUCUCCAGUUCACUCUUUGCCAGCACUGAUACUAGCUUUCGCAGUCCCCUGACUUUCUUCAUUCUGUUCUUGUGUUCUUUUCGCUGUUUUCUUGAGGUCUUUUUCUUCUCAUACAGGCCAUGCCUUGCAAGUCUAUGUUUGGGUUCAUUUUUCUCUGCAUAAUCCAAGGAAUCAGAAAUCAUGCCAAAGCCAGUUGUCUUCCCACCACCAGAAUGGGUUCUGAAUCCAAAUACAAA